rnacentral:rRNA from 1 species
AUGCGCCGGAGCAGGUGGUCGGACCUCCCGGUGGAUCUGCUCCGUGAGAUCGCUGGCCGCCUGCACGUCGCCGUCGACUUGGUCUGCUUCCACGCCGUCUGCAAGCCAUGGCGCAGCUCACGCGACCUGCUGUCGCAGACAACGGCGACCCACCUGUUCCUGCCCUGGAUCCUCGCGCCGGUGGUGUCGGACUCCCCGCUCAAGCUCAGAUGCGUCUUCUCCAAGUCCGGCUACUGCGCGCCGCCGACAGUGCCUCUUAGGGACUGGGUCACCAGCCAUCUUCGCCCCAGCUACUACACCUACCUGUCUCGUUCCCCGCUCAUCCAAUGGGAGGAGGGCCGUCCAAGUGGCAUCGUCUACGGCGACGGCACCACCUUUGUCUACAGCACCUCCCGCGUCAAGUAUCUGCAUGACACCAUGACCAGGUUUAGUGCGGCUCUUUUCUGUCCCGGUGACACAGAGUGGACGCUCGUCGAGAGGACCCUUGAGACCCCCUGGCCCUGGUCCUGGUGGUCCGGCGAGUUUUGCGCCGUACCACGGAGGCAAGAUCCUCCUCACUGUCAAGGCUAA